UGAACGAUAGAAUAGUCUUGAUGUGCUGAAUGGCCUACAUCUGCUCCUACAUUGCCUAAUAUGUCCCUUUAAUUACUUUCCUGUUACAAAAGUGACACUUCGGAGAAAUAAGUUAUGGCUUUGGCUAUAGAAGCAAUUUGGAACAAUUUAAGGCACUUUAUAAAAGCUUUUAUUUAAACCUCUCGACUUCUCUGCACCUUUUGUAAAAAAUGAUCAAGCUAUUGGCCGCCUGUCGUCAAAAGCCUGCUUUGGCCUGGUGUCAGUUUUGUCUGAUUAGGUUUCCAGUGGUAUGUUAAACAACGUGAAAUGUGUAAAUAUAGGUUGCAGUAAAAUAUACCACAUCUGCAACAAUGGCAACUGAGACCUGUUAGUGCACAAAAGUAAAUUACUUUUUGUUUAGCAAUGACAGCAUUUCAGCAACUUUUUUUUCAGACAGGAGAUGUACUUUCCUCUGUUGUCAGAGGUUGUGGUAACCUUUCAAUUUUCUCCAUUUCCUUUUUUUUAACGUUAUUUGACUGGUUUCCGCUGAGCCGAGCUCAGAGGAGCAGACUCGCCACUGUCAGAGUUGUGAGUAACACUCAGUUUAUCGGCGGCUCGUUUUGCCAGGACACCCCAACUCUGUGACAAUGAAUAAGAUCCUGAUUUGCCUCCUCAUCUGCAUGGCGCUUCUUGUGAGCAUCUCUAUACAGAGCCAAACACCAUUACCGCAAAUGUCGAAUACAACAAAAAGCGAAGCUGCUGGGUUUACCUCAGUCACUGUCAAGCUGCUGGUUUUUUCGCUUCUCCCAGUCUUCCUGCAGAGAGUACUCUCCUAACCGAAUAGCACAGAGGCAGCUCCACCAGCUCUCUCAUUCAGCAUGGAGACCAUUCUGCACAGCCAACAUUCAUCUUCAGAUUCACUCUCAACGUUCAUCGCUAACUGAGCCUGAUGCUGCCUCCUCAGUCAGUUGAUUGAGGCAUGCUCAUCUACCAGUUAUCUCUCUCCAUUCUUGAUUUCUAUUAAUCUUUUUACUCUGAUCUGCCAAGUAAUUGGAAUCGAGAAAUAUAUCAUGUAAAGUUAAAUCAAUACGUAAAUCAAAAGCAUCAAUGUUCACUCUAGUGUGACUGAAUAUCAUUCAUGGCAUGUGUUGACAUUUAAAGUGAUGAUUUUUUUAACAAUAAACAAAAUCUUGGUAUACUAUCA